AGUGAACGCUGGCGGUAGGCCUAACACAUACAAGUCGAACGGCAGCACAGUAAGAGCUUGCUCUUACGGGUGGCGAGUGGCGGACGGGUGAGGAAUACAUCGGAAUCUACUUUUUCGUGGGGGAUAACGUAGGGAAACUUACGCUAAUACCGCAUACGACCUACGGGUGAAAGCAGGGGAUCUUCGGACCUUGCGCGAUUGAAUGAGCCGAUGUCGGAUUAGCUAGUUGGCGGGGUAAAGGCCCACCAAGGCGACGAUCCGUAGCUGGUCUGAGAGGAUGAUCAGCCACACUGGAACUGAGACACGGUCCAGACUCCUACGGGAGGCAGCAGUGGGGAAUAUUGGACAAUGGGCGCAAGCCUGAUCCAGCCAUACCGCGUGGGUGAAGAAGGCCUUCGGGUUGUAAAGCCCUUUUGUUGGGAAAGAAAAGCAGCAGGUUAAUAACCCGCUGUUCUGACGGUACCCAAAGAAUAAGCACCGGCUAACUUCGU
rnacentral:rRNA from 1 species